UAAUAAGUUGUAAAAGCGUUUUCAAUUUAGUUUGAAGGGAGUUUUGGAAAUGGGUACAAUAGUUUGUCAAAUAUGUAAUGGAACAAUUGAUCAUUUCGAAGAUGAAAAAGUGAGUGUACUUUAUGCGCUUUGCAACCAUUGCGACUGUAAAGAAGAAGAAGUA
rnacentral:ncRNA from 1 species